rnacentral:rRNA from 1 species
GAUCAUUACAGAGUUCAUGCCCGAAAGGGUAGACCUCCCACCCUUGUGUAUUAUUACUUUGUUGCUUUGGCGAGCUGCCUUCGGGCCUUGUAUGCUCGCCAGAGAAUACCAAAACUCUUUUUAUUAAUGUCGUCUGAGUACUAUAUAAUAGUUAAAACUUUCAACAACGGAUCUCUUGGUUCUGGCAUCGAUGAAGAACGCAGCGAAAUGCGAUAAGUAAUGUGAAUUGCAGAAUUCAGUGAAUCAUCGAAUCUUUGAACGCACAUUGCGCCCCUUGGUAUUCCGGGGGGCAUGCCUGUUCGAGCGUCAUUUCAACCCUCAAGCUUAGCUUGGUAUUGAGUCUAUGUCAGUAAUGGCAGGCUCUAAAAUCAGUGGCGGCGCCGCUGGGUCCUGAACGUAGUAAUAUCUCUCGUUACAGGUUCUCGGUGUGCUUCUGCCAAAACCCAAAUUUUUCUAUGGUUGACCUCGGAUCAGGUAGGGAUACCCGCUGAACUUAAGCAUAUCAAUAAGCC